rnacentral:rRNA from 1 species
AGCAGCCGCGGUAAUUCCAGCUCCAAUAGCGUAUAUUAAAGUUGUUGCAGUUAAAAAGGCUCGUAGUUGAAUUUCGGAAUCGACGGAUUGGUCGCGCCUUCGGUGUGUACUGGUCUUGCCGGUUUCUCCCUUCUGACGAACCACGAUGUCAUUAAUUUGGUGUCGUGGGGAAUCAGGACUGUUACUUUGAAAAAAUUAGAGUGUUUAAAGCAGGCAUUAGCUUGAAUACAUUAGCAUGGAAUAAUGAAAUAGGACGUUUUGAUCUUAUUUUGUUGGUUUCUAGGAUCGACGUAAUGAUUAAUAGGGAUAGUUGGGGGCAUUAGUAUUCAAUUGUCAGAGGUGAAAUUCUUGGAUUUAUUGAAGACUAACUACUGCGAAAGCAUUUGCCAAGGAUGUUUCAUUAAUCAAGAACGAAAGUUAGGGGAUCGAAGACGAUCAGAUACCGUCGUAGUCUUAACCAUAAACUAUGCCGACUAGGGAUCGGAUGAUGUUUAAUUUUUUAAUGUACUCA